rnacentral:rRNA from 1 species
GAUGAACGCUGGCGGCGUGCCUAAUACAUGCAAGUCGAGCGAACGGACGAGAAGCUUGCUUCUCUGAUGUUAGCGGCGGACGGGUGAGUAACACGUGGAUAACCUACCUAUAAGACUGGGAUAACUUCGGGAAACCGGAGCUAAUACCGGAUAAUAUUUUGAACCGCAUGGUUCAAAAGUGAAAGACGGUCUUGCUGUCACUUAUAGAUGGAUCCGCGCUGCAUUAGCUAGUUGGUAAGGUAACGGCUUACCAAGGCAACGAUGCAUAGCCGACCUGAGAGGGUGAUCGGCCACACUGGAACUGAGACACGGUCCAGACUCCUACGGGAGGCAGCAGUAGGGAAUCUUCCGCAAUGGGCGAAAGCCUGACGGAGCAACGCCGCGUGAGUGAUGAAGGUCUUCGGAUCGUAAAACUCUGUUAUUAGGGAAGAACAUAUGUGUAAGUAACUGUGCACAUCUUGACGGUACCUAAUCAGAAAGCCACGGCUAACUACGUGCCAGCAGCCGCGGUAAUACGUAGGUGGCAAGCGUUAUCCGGAAUUAUUGGGCGUAAAGCGCGCGUAGGCGGUUUUUUAAGUCUGAUGUGAAAGCCCACGGCUCAACCGUGGAGGGUCAUUGGAAACUGGAAAACUUGAGUGCAGAAGAGGAAAGUGGAAUUCCAUGUGUAGCGGUGAAAUGCGCAGAGAUAUGGAGGAACACCAGUGGCGAAGGCGACUUUCUGGUCUGUAACUGACGCUGAUGUGCGAAAGCGUGGGGAUUAAACAGGAUUAGAUACCCUGGUAGUCCACGCCGUAAACGAUGAGUGCUAAGUGUUAGGGGGUUUCCGCCCCUUAGUGCUGCAGCUAACGCAUUAAGCACUCCGCCUGGGGAGUACGACCGCAAGGUUGAAACUCAAAGGAAUUGACGGGGACCCGCACAAGCGGUGGAGCAUGUGGUUUAAUUCGAAGCAACGCGAAGAACCUUACCAAAUCUUGACAUCCUUUGACAACUCUAGAGAUAGAGCUUUCCCCUUCGGGGGACAAAGUGACAGGUGGUGCAUGGUUGUCGUCAGCUCGUGUCGUGAGAUGUUGGGUUAAGUCCCGCAACGAGCGCAACCCUUAAGCUUAGUUGCCAUCAUUAAGUUGGGCACUCUAAGUUGACUGCCGGUGACAAACCGGAGGAAGGUGGGGAUGACGUCAAAUCAUCAUGCCCCUUAUGAUUUGGGCUACACACGUGCUACAAUGGACAAUACAAAGGGCAGCGAAACCGUGAGGUCAAGCAAAUCCCAUAAAGUUGUUCUCAGUUCGGAUUGUAGUCUGCAACUCGACUACAUGAAGCUGGAAUCGCUAGUAAUCGUAGAUCAGCAUGCUACGGUGAAUACGUUCCCGGGUCU